GCAUCCAUGGCUGAAUGGUUAAAGCGUCCCAACUCAACAUUGGAUUGGCGAAUUCGUAGGUUCGAUUCCUGCUGGAUGAA
rnacentral:tRNA from 1 species